GGAUGGUGGUUGAUCCGUUGACCAAGCCGAUAGCUAGAGAUAUGUUCCUGACCCACGUUAGGAGUUUGGGUCUUCGUAGGUUUUGAUAUGGACAUUAUUUUGUAUUUUACGCUUUAUUAAUGAAAAUGUGUUUUUCUUUUAAUGUGGUUGCGUAAUUGAUACUAGUAGGCACAUAUUCGUUAAGUCACCGGGCUUAGAUCAGCCCACUCACACGGGUGAUCGCCCUGGCACCUAAGUGGUGAGCAGGAUGAGACUAGAUAAUCAUAUUAAACUUGAGUAGUUGUAAUAUGAUUACUUUAUUCAUAUAUGUUAUGAAUGAAGUGUUGAUAUAAUUUAAAGUCGCCUUAAU
rnacentral:lncRNA from 1 species